CAAACAAAGGUCCCACUUGUUGCUUGAUGACUAGAUCCGCGAAGAUGAGUGGCGCGUGAGAAAUUGUUUUUCUUUCCCAGCAGCCAGCCUGAGCCAGACCCACCGAUCGACGGCGACUAAUUCAACCGGUCCAUACGUAUCUAGUAACCUCCUAAGCGCGCUAGCUACCAUUACAGUCAUCGUCGUCCAUGGCCGCCGCGCUUCGCCUGCUGCCUGGCUCCGACGACCUCGCUCCGAUCCUCUCAGUCUCCGGUGAGCACGACAUGCUGCUUGCCCAUGUCGUGCGCUCCCUCUCGGCAGCCCCGCAUAUGGUGCCAUGGUGGCAGCAUGGACAGUGCAGGCCAGCUUCAAGGAGACAUGCUACGUACAAGUGUUGUGUUACCUGAUCACAUCCUCAUAAACCGGCAUAUGCAUAAUCACACAGGGUUUAUUAGGGCGAUCAGUUAUGAUCAUAGAUGGAGCUUUUAGCAAACAGAAAUCGCAUACGUACCAGUAAGUAUUUUGCAGGUGAGCAACAGUGGCAUCUGUAGCAGUAGUGCCCUUGCUGUGUAUUGUUAAUGUAACCUAAUUGGCUAUAAUCAACUGAGCUAUGAGUUUUUUUUCUUAUCUCGUUCUUUUCAUUUAGUCCCAGUUUCACAGAUUGCUAAGUAGUGACCAUUUUUCAGCAUGGAAACUAUGACUAUAUACUCCAUAUGUAUGGUACUAGUAAUUGAACCUAUACCUAGUUGUCAGGUUGCACUAAUAUCUGAACCCGCUGUGCUUCUGCUAGCUAUCUGCCACGUACUAUAAACAAGUUAAUAUCAGUAAUAUAGGAUCUUGCACUGAACCUGAUGAUGAUUUUUACUAGGAUAGGGUACAUUCAAUUCUUUAUUCAUGAAUAACCGCAUAUAUCAUCAUGAAAGCUGCAUUCAGAUGGUGCUGCUUGUGAACCAUUGAUUGUAAUUUUGGUAUCUUUUUGGGACUUCAGGGAUGAGACUGGAGGGGGAGGAGGGGGAGCCCUUGUCCCCUGGGUCCUUGGACUGGCCAUAAGCCCACCGCUGCUUUCAGCUGAGAGACUGGCCAUAAGCCCAUCACUGGCCAUAAGUACAAGAAAGACUUGAAAGUGGUACUGGCUUAUAUUUGUAAACCGUUUGCUAGAAGGCGCUAGAUGGAUGAUGUCCUGUAACUAGCUGGUUUUCGAGGCAGCAUUGUAGUGACUUAUUGCUCGUGAUUUGGUGGUGGUGGUGUAAGGACUCGAUCUUAUUAUUGGAUAAAAAUGUUGAAAAGUACAUAUAUACUCCCUUCUUAAAUUCACUUUGCUUCCUUGCCGACAGUGUUGUCAUUCAUGGUCUUUGCUCAUCUGCAUGCUCCUACUCAGCUCCUUGUUUGUGCAGUUGUGCAUGUGACUAUGAGAGUGUGGUUAUGUUAAUUUGGCUAGCACUAGUAGCUUUGGAUCCAUUAUAAUCCCGUGUACUCUCUCCGUCCUGUAAUAUAGGGUAUUUUAGCAUUUUCAUGAUAAAUUAAGGAGAUGAGAGAAUGAUGCAUGUACCCCUAUUUAAUACUUUAUUUGGUUAUUAUUUUGCUGAUUUCAUAGCUGGCUGGAAAUAAUUAGUUUCUAAAAUAUAUUAGAAUAUUUUAUAAUUGGGUAUAAAUUUUGAGGCUAUCAGUAUCUUAUAUUUAAGACAGAAGGAGUACAUUCAUAACAAUGACCUGGAGCAGGCCACUAAUUAAUGGUCCAUCAGCUAAAAAUUGUACUUCUAGGCAAGAUGUCCAACCACUAGUUAUGAGAGUUUAUAUUAUUAAGCUAGACAUCUCAUUCCGCAUUUCCUAAACCGAUUGAUCUUCUUUUCUUGUGCCUCUUACUUCCCAUUUUUGACGGAUUGAUGGAGCUAAUCAUAUCUAUGAUGAUGUGUGCUGCGUUUCAAAGCUGCCCGUUGCAUACGGCGGCUCAUUAUACGAAUGGGCCCGAAUGGAUAUGCAAGCAUGCGGACAAGAAAAGUACAAUAAAAUAGCACCCGCAUUUUUCCCACUAGUCUUGCCGAUGAAAACGACCGGCCGGUUCGCAGCUGGCCCUGCCUCAUCACUCCACCUCCGCACAUCGUGAAGGAACGAAGACUACGAGAUUGAGAGGGCACGACUUCACCAGCAAGCUCAACAAUCAGUAGACGGGCGAAGCACAUGCCGGACUUGGAAGAGGGGAUUGAGGUGGAGGUGGAUACUCCUGCAGUUCAAGCUCCAGCGGUGGCUGAAGAUUUGCGAGUUCACCAGCAGGUUGAAGGGGGCGCAGCAGCUGGCAAGAUGAACCCUGUCCAGAAGUGGCUCGCGUACUGGACCCUCGUCGCUGCUGCUUCUGUGAUCUUUCUGGACAACCAUAUCGACGACGCUGCCCCAAAGGACCAACUGUUCCCUCCAGACGUUCCCAUGUUCGUCGUGUUCCUGUGUGCAAUCUGCCUCAUUCUUCGCGCCAUGAUGAUGCAGAGAUGACGUGAGAGUACAUCGAUUGCGUCCAUGCCUUACCGUCCGGAGACCCAAUUCCUAAUAGCCCCCUGCUCUACAUCGAUGACCUGCUCUCGCACAUGUUGCUCUGCACCAUGCUCGAAUGGUUUCAGCUUACACGUAAGAAUAUAGAACUUGGUAUUUAUAUUUUUAUUUCCUCUAAUAAUUUUAGUGAACAAAUGAACUUCUUGCUCAUCAUGUAUUUUUUACACUAUAAACUUAAUGUUUAUUAUAUUAAACUUAUUGAUUA